ACAAAAAGUCUACUUGUACUCGGCGUGGGAAACCCCGCGUGCCCAUCCCUCCACAUGAAAAUUUUGAAACAGCGCAUUUUGUGUUUAACCUAAACAACAGGUUCGUCUACCCACGAACAGAGCAUGAAGGGCUCGGUCUUCUUCUCAUCUUCUUGACUACACGUGGUUGAAUACAGUUUUUUCUGAACGAGUAUCCACUGGGCAUAAGUUUGCAACUCGAUUGGGUAAUGUGUUCAACAUUGGCACGGGGACAACAAAGCCAUUGGUAGUUGAAUUGAAAACCAGACAGGGUACAAAAAGCAAAGAAUAUUCAAACAAGGAAAAAAAACAGACGAGUGGAGAAGAAACAUGAAGAAGAAGAAAACCGUUUUUUUGUUUCCACUGUUCAAAAUAUGGAAAGAGAAUGGAAGUGUUAUCGUGGCCAACAAUUUGAUCUGCAUGAUUUGGGGCUUUCGUCGCCUGGGAUUGGAUCUUCUGCAUAGAUAGAUUCAAAAAAAAAAAAAAAAUCAUUCCUAAACAGUUACCCAAA